rnacentral:misc_RNA from 1 species
AACGGUCUAUACCUGCGGUACCUGCGGAGGGAUCAUUAAUGAGAAACUGCCCCUCGCGGGUAGAUCUCCCACCCUUUGUAAACUUACCUUUGUUGCUUUGGCAGGCCCGUCUCCGGACCGCCGGCUUCGGCUGGCCAGUGCCUGCCAGAGGAUUCUAAAACUCUGUCUGUCAGUGUUGUCUGGGUCUAUAUACAAUCGUUAAAACUUUCAGCAAUGGAUCUCUAGAUCGGAAGAGCACAC